GGUUCUGUAUGGGGGUAGUAAAUGGAUAUUUUAGUGGUAAAUAAGUGUUACUCUCCCUUUUGAAAUGAUGGAAGUGACCUCCCAAAGAAAGGCAAAAGAGGCUUUCUAAAAGUUCCCACGAUUUUUGUAUUUGUGCAUUUUCUUGUUAACAUAAAAUCCAUGGGAAAGUUUAAUUAUCAUUAUAUUGUACUAAGCAUUUACUAUUUAUUAUUAUCAUCUUCUUCAUUGGUAUAAGAAGUGGGACCAAAAAGUUGACAAAAAUCAGCUGAUUGGAAAAGAUUUGUAUCCUGAUGAGAAAAUGGAUCAAGUCAAUAUCUCACACAUCAAGUUACACUUUGGAUAAGCUGUUAAAUUUUCCAUUAUUUACAAUGAUAAUCGAUCUUUAACUUUCAACUUGUUAAAAGACACUUAAUGCAUCUCAAUUACCGUUUAUUGAAAUGAUUCCAGACCAUGAGAAAACAGAUCAACUCUCAUCUCACGAGUUAUUAUUAUCGCAUAAGAUGUAAACAAGAGGACAAAUUGGUAUUUUAUAUCAUUUUAUUGAGAGUUAUGUCACAAAGUUUCAAUCAAUUUUUGUUUCUCCCAUUUUCACUGAAAAUAUUGCCCUUAAAACCCUUGUGUGUUAAAUCAUCAAUACACUCAGCCCGGAUUACAACUAGGCCAUGCAUGAACAUGUUACACACUUACCUCUUUCUCUUUUCUCAGGCUUAUUAUUUAUUUUGCAACCCUAACUUCCAUUAAUUGUGAUGCUUCAUUACUCCAAUUAUAAUCAUACUUUGUUAAAUUUUUCCUGUCGACCGCAUCAUCUUUCAUCUUCACUUGCUGUCAUCGUGAUGAACAUCAUACAUAACAUUGGUUGACCAUCAUCAAUAAUGCAAACAAUUCAUUUUAAUGAAACUAUGAGAAGAUCCAGUUGAUCUCCACGGACUGUCCAAUGUCCAGCUCGUGUUGAAUUAUUUAUUCAGUUUGUCUUUCAAUCAAAUCACUUUUGCAUACAAUAGAAGCUUUCGAAGACAGUUAACAUUUGAACAAUUCAA